UACGAAGGGGGCUAGCGUUGCUCGGAAUUACUGGGCGUAAAGGGCGCGUAGGCGGAUAGUUUAGUCAGAGGUGAAAGCCCAGGGCUCAACCUUGGAACUGCCUUUGAUACUGGCUAUCUUGAGUACGGGAGAGGUGAGUGGAACUCCGAGUGUAGAGGUGAAAUUCGUAGAUAUUCGGAAGAACACCGGUGGCGAAGGCGCCCACCUGGCCUGCUACUGACGCUGAAGCUCGAAAGCUAGGGGAGCAAACGGG
rnacentral:rRNA from 1 species